rnacentral:misc_RNA from 1 species
CACCUAAUGUUGUCACUUACAGAUGCCUAAUUCGUGGUCUUUGCAAUUUAGGCAAAAUAAAUCAAGCUCUUGCCUUGCUAAAUGAAAUGGUGGGGCAGAAUAUAUCACCAGAUGCUUAUAUCUUCAAUAUAUUGAUCAACAAUCUUUUCAAGGAAGGAAUGGUUUCAAAGGUUCAAGGCAUUUUUGAUAUGAUGGUUCAAUGGGGCAUAAAGCCUAAUUUGGUCACUUACAAUUCAUUGAUGGACGGAUAUUUUCUGCAUAGCCAAAUAGAUGAAGCAAGAAAAGUAUUUGAUCAGAUGGUAAGCAAUGGCAUAGCUAAUGUCAUCAGCUACAACAUCUUGAUUAACGGGUAUUGCAAGAGCAAAAUGAUUGAUGAAGUGAUGAAACUUUUUGAUGAAAUGCCUCAAAAAGGUUUAGUUCCUAACUCUGUUACAUAUAGUACUCUUAUAAAGGGAUUGUGGGGAGCAGGGAGACCUCGUACUGCACUAGAUUUUUUCAAGAACAUGUGCUCUCAUGGUCAGCAGCCAAAUAUAAUAACUUUAUCAAUUUUGCUUGACGGCUUGUGCUAACAGGGAGAUGUUGAUGAGGCUCUUACCAUCUUCAAAGCGAUGGAAAAGAGUCAAUUGAAGCCUAAUCGUGUAACCUAUAAUAUUCUUAUCAAUGGAAUGUGCAAGGUUGGGAAGCUUAAUGAUGCUAAGGAACUAUUUUCUAAGCUUUUCGAAAAAGGUUUGUGGCCUGAUAUUUGUACAUAUACUACAAUAAUAAAAGGAUUUUGCCAAAAUGGGUUACUAGAUGACGCAUACAAGGUAUUUAGGGGAAUCAAAGGGGGUGAACCUUUACCAGAUGCUUCUUGUUAUAAUGUGAUUAUUCAAGGGGUUCUCAGGCA